rnacentral:rRNA from 1 species
AGUAGUUUGAUCCUGGCUACAGGACGAACGCUGGCGGCGUGCUUAACACAUGCAAGUCGAACGGAAAGGCCCCUGCUUGCAGGGGUACUCGAGUGGCGAACGGGUGAGUAACACGUGGGUGAUCUGCCCUUCACUUCGGGAUAAGCCUGGGAAACUGGGUCUAAUACCGGAUAGGACCAAUCUUUAGUGUGGUUGGUGGAAAGUUUUUUCGGUGGAGGAUGAGCCCGCGGCCUAUCAGCUUGUUGGUGGGGUAAUGGCCUACCAAGGCGACGACGGGUAGCCGGCCUGAGAGGGUGGACGGCCACAUUGGGACUGAGACACGGCCCAGACUCCUACGGGAGGCAGCAGUGGGGAAUAUUGCACAAUGGGCGGAAGCCUGAUGCAGCGACGCCGCGUGAGGGAUGACGGCCUUCGGGUUGUAAACCUCUUUCGCUAGGGAAGAAGCCUUCGGGUGACGGUACCUGGAUAAGAAGCACCGGCUAACUACGCG